UACGUAGGGGGCAAGCGUUGUCCGGAUUUAUUGGGCGUAAAGAGCUCGUAGGUGGUUUGGUAAGUCGGAUGUGAAAUCUCCAGGCUCAACCUGGAGGGGUCAUUCGAUACUGCCAUGGCUAGAGGUCGGUAGGGGAGUGUGGAAUUCCUGGUGGAGCGGUGAGAUGCGCAGAUAUCAGGAGGAACACCAAUGGCGAAGGCAGCUCGCUGGGACGUGACUGACGCUGAGACGCGAAAGCGUGGGGAGCAAACAGG
rnacentral:rRNA from 1 species